GAUGAACGCUAGCGGGAGGCCUAAUACAUGCAAGUCGAACGGUAACAGGUAGCAAUACGCUGACGAGUGGCGCACGGGUGCGUAACGCGUACACAAUCUGCCUUAUACUGGGGCAUAGCCUUUGGAAACGAAGAAUAAUUCCCCAUAAUAUAUAGAAGAGGCAUCUCUUUCAUAUUAAAGCUCAGGCGGUAUAAGAUGAGUGUGCGUCCGAUUAGGUAGUUGGUGAGGUAACGGCUCACCAAGCCAACGAUCGGUAGCUGGUCUGAGAGGAUGAUCAGCCACACGGGCACUGAGACACGGGCCCGACUCCUACGGGAGGCAGCAGUAGGGAAUAUUGGACAAUGGGCGCAAGCCUGAUCCAGCCAUCCCGCGUGAAGGAUGAAGGUCCUCUGGAUUGUAAACUUCUUUUCUUCGGGAAUAAAACUAGGGGUUCUCCUCAGCUUGAAGGUACCGAAGGAAUAAGCACCGGCUAACUCCGUGCCAGCAGCCGCGGUAAA
rnacentral:rRNA from 1 species